UGAUACAAAUGAUGAAUGGAUAUCCGUUCGAACUGGGAUUCGAAAUCGAAGAAUUCUUUCGGGCAAAGAUAGCUUGAUUUCUCUAUCUGUGGAGGCAGCUAGGAAGGCUCUUCAGAUGGCAGAGGUGGAGCCUGAUGAUGUGGAUCUAAUCUUGAUGUGCACAUCUACUCCAGAGGAUCUUUUUGGUAGUGCUCCUCAGGUAUGAGGUUACAAAAUGUGCAUAUCCCUAAAUUUACUGUAGACGGAUAUACAGUGGUUCUCAUAUUUGAUAUUAGCUUUAUGGAUUCACUUUUCCUUUUAGUCUGAGUAAUGCUGUGCAUGUGGUGGACUGUUGCAAAAAAAGGGCUUUUGUUCACACAUUAGAAUAGCCAUGUGCAGUUGUACUUUUUUAUGUGAAUCUCUGAAUAUAUAUUGAACUAUUGAUGUGUUUACCAUUUAUAUUGUUUACUGCUUUUGGUUUUUUAUGUACUACCCAUAUCUAGAUGUAUCAUUAUUUUAUUAGCUGACAUUUUAGUUUGAUUCUAAAUGCAUAUUCAGAAUUCAGAAGAGCUUCCAUUAAUGCUGAAUUUUGGGUAAUUUUUGGAUUUAGCUUCACUUGUAUAUCAGUCUAGUCUACAACUCCAAUCUUUGCUCUAGCAGUAACAACCUCCAAAAUCCUCUAUGUUUCUCAUUGCAACUUGGUGGCUCAUAUUACUGGAUCACACAUUGAAAUGUCUUUGCGUAGGAAGUUAGUUGAUAAUUUUGGUUUGCCAUAAUGUUGCAAAGAAAAUGAGUCUUAUUAUCCUAUUUUUGGUCUCAAAACCAUUAAAACUCAUAAUUCAUUUGUGGAUGAUUUCUAGCCAGGGGUGAGCACUUAACGGUUUUAGCCGAAAAACUGAACCAAACCGAUUUAAUUUGUUUUUCAGUUUGAUUUUUUAUUUAAUUGGUUCGGCAUCAGUUUAAGAUUUUAUGAUAGUUUGGUUGUUGGUUUGGUUCCGUUUUUUAACCAAAAAAUCAUAAAAAAAACCGAGUUGACUGAAUUUUAACUUUGUACCAAAGUGUUGUCCUUUUUAUGGUGGUAUAAAUCCACAUAUCCCUAAGAGGUCUUUUGUUUUCUUCUCUUAUAUAUUCUCAGAAUCUCAGUCACAUAAACUGAGAAACCUGACUCCCUCCCUCGCAGACCCUCACUUUCCUGUCUCCUUCACUUUGCUUUGCUUCCCUCGGUGUCAUCGCUUCAACCACCCAUGACCCAUCCUCCCAUUUUCUUUGUUUUCAUCUCCUUCACAAAGACCCUUUUUGUUUCAUCUUCCCUCGGUAUCAUCUCCUUCAUGAAAACUCUC
rnacentral:misc_RNA from 1 species